GCCUGGGUGGCUCAGUCGACCGAGCAUCUGACUUCGGCUCAGGUCACGAUCUCCCAGUUCGCGGGUUCGAGCCCCACGCUGGGCU
rnacentral:tRNA from 1 species